rnacentral:misc_RNA from 1 species
GGUUAUGUUCCUAGCGAACAUGAUGAAAGGAUUGUCCUUGAGCUACCGUCAUCAAUGGUCAGGCCGUUGAAGGUUUCUAGAGGAACUUUCCAAAUUACAACAAGGAGAAUAAAUUUUAUCAUUGAUAACACUGAGAUCAGUGUGGCUGGGGAUAAUCUUGAUUGCAGCAGUGACGAAAAAGUCAAAGGGAAGGAUCGAAGCUGGUUGAUAUCUUCCCUUCAUCAAAUUUAUAGCAGAAGAUAUCUUCUGAGGAGAAGUGCAUUGGAAUUAUUUAUGGUCGACCGGUCAAACUUUUUCUUUGACUUUGGGAGUACUGAGGCAAGAAGAGAUGCAUAUCGAGCUAUUGUUCAAACUCG